GAUGAACGCUGGCGGCGUGCCUAAUACAUGCAAGUCGAGCGAACGGACGAGAAGCUUGCUUUUCUGAUGUUAGCGGCGGACGGGUGAGUAACACGUGGAUAACCUACCUAUAAGACUGGGAUAACUUCGGGAAACCGGAGCUAAUACCGGAUAAUAUUUUGAACCGCAUGGUUCAAAAGUGAAAGACGGUCUUGCUGUCACUUAUAGAUGGAUCCGCGCUGCAUUAGCUAGUUGGUAAGGUAACGGCUUACCAAGGCAACGAUGCAUAGCCGACCUGAGAGGGUGUUCGGCCACACUGGAACUGAGACACGGUCCAGACUCCUACGGGAGGCAGCAGUAGGGAAUCUUCCGCAAUGGGCGAAAGCCUGACGGAGCAACGCCGCGUGAGUGAUGAAGGUCUUCGGAUCGUAAAACUCUGUUAUUAGGGAAGAACAUAUGUGUAAGUAACUGUGCACAUCUUGACGGUACCUAAUCAGAAAGCCACGGCUAACUACGUG
rnacentral:rRNA from 1 species